rfam:Tupaia chinensis contig112543, whole genome shotgun sequence.
CAGCUCUGCUGUGGCCUAUGGCUUUUCAUUCCUAUGUGAUUGCUGUUCCAAACUCAUGUAGGGCUAAAAGCCAUGGGCUACAGUGACGCAA